rnacentral:rRNA from 1 species
CUUUGUGUUAGGAAUUGUUUGUGGAAUUUGGUGUUCGGGUAAAAAUACCUGAAUUUUAUUAUGGGACGAGAAGACCCUAUAGAGUGUUAUGUAAUUUUCUUUUUUUGGUUUGUUURUGUUUGUUGGGUUUUAGUUGCAUUUUGUUGGGGUGAUGGGAGAAUAUACUUAACUUCUCUUUUUAUUAUUUCAUUUAUUUAUGUUUUUGUGAUCCUUUAUUAUUGAUUAUAAGAUUAAAUUACCUUAGGGAUA